rnacentral:rRNA from 1 species
GUGGGGAAUAUUGGACAAUGGGGGGAACCCUGAUCCAGCCAUGCCGCGUGUGUGAAGAAGGCCUUUUGGUUGUAAAGCACUUUAAGCGAGGAGGAGGCUACCGAGAUUAAUACUCUUGGAUAGUGGACGUUACUCGCAGAAUAAGCACCGGCUAACUCUGUGCCAGCAGCCGCGGUAAUACAGAGGGUGCAAGCGUUAAUCGGAUUUACUGGGCGUAAAGCGCGCGUAGGUGGCCAAUUAAGUCAAAUGUGAAAUCCCCGAGCUUAACUUGGGAAUUGCAUUCGAUAGUGGUUGGCUAGAGUAUGGGAGAGGAUGGUAGAAUUCCAGGUGUAGCGGUGAAAUGCGUAGAGAUCUGGAGGAAUACCGAUGGCGAAGGCAGCCAUCUGGCCUAAUACUGACACUGAGGUGCGAAAGCAUGGGGAGCAAACAGGAUUAGAUACCCCAGUAGUCC